GACGAACGCUGGCGGCGUGCUUAACACAUGCAAGUCGAACGGAAAGGCCCUGCUUUUGUGGGGUGCUCGAGUGGCGAACGGGUGAGUAACACGUGAGUAACCUGCCCUUGACUUUGGGAUAACUUCAGGAAACUGGGGCUAAUACCGGAUAGGAGCUCCUGCUGCAUGGUGGGGGUUGGAAAGUUUCGGCGGUUGGGGAUGGACUCGCGGCUUAUCAGCUUGUUGGUGGGGUAGUGGCUUACCAAGUCUUUGACGGGUAGCCGGCCUGAGAGGGUGGCCGGCCACAUUGGGACUGAGAUACGGCCCAGACUCGUAUGUGGGGCAGAAGUGGGGAAUAUUGCACAGUGAGCGGAAGUCUGAUGCGACGACGUCGCGUGCGGGAUGACGUCCUGCGGGUUGUGAACCGCAUUCGCCUGUGACGAAGCGUGAGUGACGGUAAUGGGUAAAGAAGCACCGGCUAACUACGUG
rnacentral:rRNA from 1 species